rnacentral:rRNA from 1 species
UGGUGGAGUGAUUUGUCUGGUUGAUUCCGUUAACGAACGAGAUCUUGGCCCUUCAAUGGAUGAGAUCGAUUUCUGUACUCAAGGGGACAACGCCUGUUUACAAGGCGUGGAAGUGCGAGUCAAUAGCA